CCAUCUGAAGGACUGAAAGGCGCUAGAUACUUCUCAAAUAAUACUUACGUCCUUUAGAACCACAUAAAGCAUAAACUCUUUAAAUCUAUUUACUGUACGUACCCUUUAAAACUUCGUUUAUAUAUUUUUAAUAUCUUUUUGCGAGUUUCUGCUUUGAAUAUAUUUUGAUAUUGAUUUGUGAUUUUAUUUAUACAAUGUAUAUACACGGACUUUAAUAUGAAAUACUCGUUGUACUGUCCUCUUGUGCCAUAUUUCAAUAUUUUAUGUUAAGAGUGGAAGAAAAAAUAAAUACUUAAUAUC
rnacentral:misc_RNA from 1 species